rnacentral:lncRNA from 1 species
GAAGUUCACUAAAACCCAGUCUGAUUUUAAUUGUAUUAAUCAUUUCUUGAUCCUUGGUAGUACUUUUUAAUUAUUUUGAUAUUUCAGUUUCAGAGGAGGAUUUCAAAAGAACAUGCUGGCAUCACCUAGUCAGAAUUUGGGUGCAGGACUGUCUGGCUGUGAAACUGUGCAUCAGUAGCAAAGGCUUGGAAAUCUUCAUCAGGAGUAUAUUUUUCACUGUCUACCAUGAAUCAAAACUCUUCUGUCCAUGGAGAGAAUGUGUGACAAAGUGAUUGCUUCAAAAUGGUAAUAAAAGA